UACGUAGGUGGCAAGCGUUGUCCGGAAUUAUUGGGCGUAAAGCGCGCGCAGGCGGUCCUUUAAGUCUGAUGUGAAAGCCCCGGGCUUAACCUGGGAAUGGCCAUGGAAACUGGCGAACUGGAGUGUGGCAGAGGGGGGUGGAAUUCCGCGUGUAGCAGUGAAAUGCGUAGAUAUCUGCAGGAACACCCGUGGCGAAGGCGGCUGACUGGAUCGCAACUGACGCUGAGGAACGAAAGCUAGGGGAGCAAACAGG
rnacentral:rRNA from 1 species